rnacentral:RNase_P_RNA from 1 species
CCAGACGGCCGGGCGAUCGCGCUUCUCCUUCGGGAGGGGCGAGGAAAGUCCGGGCUCCACGACGACAUGGCGGCGGGUAACGCCCGCCGGGGGCGACCCCAGGGAUAGCGCCACAGAAAGCAAACCGCCCGCCGCGGCUUCGGCUUCGGAGGGUAAGGGUGAAAGGGUGCGGUAAGAGCGCACCGCGUUCCUGGCGACAGGGACGGCAUGGCAAGCCCCGCCAGGAGCAAGACCGAAUAGGGGUCCCGCGUCCCCAGAAAUGGGGGCAGGGCUGUCGUAGGCCCAGGGACCCGGGUAGGUCGCGAGAACCGGUCCGCAAGGGCCGGUCCAGAGGAAUGAUCGCCGCGUCGAUGCAAAUCGGCGGCACAGAACCCGGCUUACAGGCCGUCUGGUCCG